UACAGGGGGGGCAAGCGUUGUUCGGAAUUACUGGGCGUAAAGGGCUCGUAGGCGGCCAACUAAGUCACACGUGAAAUCCCCAGGCUUAACCUGGGAACUGCGUGUGAUACUGGAUGGCUUGAAUUCGGGAGAGGGAUGCAGAAUUCCAGGUGUAGCGGUGAAAUGCGUAGAUAUCAGGAGGAACACCUAUGGCGAAGGCAGCUCGCUGGGACGGUACUGACGCUGAGGCGCGAAAGCGUGGGGAGCAAACAGG
rnacentral:rRNA from 1 species